rnacentral:ribozyme from 12 species
AUUUCUCUAAUUUAUCCAUUUUUUUCUUUUUAUUACUUUUUGCUCUGCUUAUAGCAUCAACGCGUAAUU